GGAGAGAUGGCCGAGCGGUUGAAGGCGGUAGCCUCGAAAGCUAUUGUUCGCAUCGCGGACCGGGGGUUCGAAUCCCUCUCUCUCCGCCA
rnacentral:tRNA from 1 species